GACGAACGCUGGCGGCGUGCCUAAUACAUGCAAGUCGAACGAACAGCGACUAGGUUUUUGCCCUUGGUGAAGGUGAGUGGCGAACGGGUGAGUCGCACGUGGGCAACCUAUCUCAUAGUGGUGGCUAAGAGUAGGCAGAGCUAGCAACUACCGCAUAGGACAUAGGAUUACAUGAUUCUUUAAGGAAAGGUUGCGCAACCUUUCGCUAUGAGUUCGACCCGCAGUGCAUUAUGUAGUUGGUAGGGUAUUGGCCUACCAAGGCGAUGAUGCAUAGCCGACCUGAGAGGGUGAUCGGCCACAUUGGAACUGAGACACGGCCCAAACUCCUACGGGAGGCAGCAGUAGGGAAUCUUCCGCAAAGGACGCAAGUCUGACGGAGCAACGCCGCGUGAGUGAAGAAGGUCUUCGGAUCGUAAAGCUCUGUUGUUAGAGAAGAACAGCGCAGAGAGUAACUGUUAUGCGUGUGACGGUAUCUAACCAGAAAGCCACGGCUAACUACGUG
rnacentral:rRNA from 1 species